CUUAAGGUGUCGUUUGAAUAUUCAGCACCAAUCACUACCCAGUGUGUUGUCUGCCGAGAACAUGCUGAUUAUAGGUGAAUUGAGUGCAGCUCCACUGCAGUGUUUUGUGAGGUUUGCCUGAAGAGGACUCACAGAAAUUCACUGCAUCUUCCUGAAAAGUGGAAUAAUGUUUACUAUGAUCCAUCCUCCCUGGGGUUAUUCUUAUAUUUACCUGAAGACCAUGGCACCCAUGCUGUGUACACAAAGGACAUGAAGGUCAUUGUCAGCACAGGACGGCUCUACACCUUUACAGUCAACAUGUGUAUGUGUGAACCAGAAACCUCACUCUGCUAAGGUUAACUGACUCUACAGAGUCCUGGUGGGGGAAUCCGUAUCCCAUUUUAGGCAUCACCACUUCCGACAAAGAAGUUUGGUUGAUAUUUGCCCACAAUUAAAUGAUGGAACCAUAUGUCUAGCAUGUCCAAAGGCAGAUGAAGAUAUGAUUGUCACAUUGGAUUCCAACUUUGGCCUUGUGAGUAAGCAAAGCUCCAGUACAAGUGCGGUUGAUCCAAUACACGGAACCCGCAUGUUUGCUGAUGAAAAGGAUAUAGAGGAAUACCUGCUAUCACAUCUUGACAGCUCAAAGCCUCACAAGGACUGCAGUAAGCUGCUCAUUCAAGGUCUCCAACAGCUGGAAAGAACAAAAUCAAGCCACUGUGAUUUUCACCCACAUGUACCAGAUAUUGUUCCUGCAGACAACCCCUACUUGUGUCAAGCCCUCCCUAUUCGACAUAGCAUACAGACACUGGUAUACAAUGAUGAUGGUGAUAAUGAUGAGGAUGACCCUGAUGAUGACAAUGAUAACUAGGACUGUAAGCACUGGUAUGACAAGGCCUGUAUUUACAAAGCUUCUCAGAGUAGAAAAAGUCCCAACCGGCCUAAAAUCCUCAGACUGUAUAUUUGAACCUGAGGUUCACAAGCACUUCAUAAACUUUUUAAGUCCAAAGAAAUGGUUCUGAUGUCAUUGCAGAUCAUAUGAACCUUUCAUGGUGAUGGAGGAAUAUAAUUACUUUACUGCAUUACUUGUGCAGACAUGUUGUUUUACUAGGUCUGAUCUAUUUUAAAGCUUAGGCACUGUAUUUAAGCAUACAUAUCACCACUAGUCUGUCUGUAUGA